rnacentral:rRNA from 1 species
AUUGAACGCUGGCGGCAGGCCUAACACAUGCAAGUCGAGCGGAUGAGAGGAGCUUGCUUCUCGAUUCAGCGGCGGACGGGUGAGUAAUGCCUAGGAAUCUGCCUGGUAGUGGGGGACAACGUUUCGAAAGGAACGCUAAUACCGCAUACGUCCUACGGGAGAAAGCAGGGGACCUUCGGGCCUUGCGCUAUCAGAUGAGCCUAGGUCGGAUUAGCUAGUUGGUGAGGUAAUGGCUCACCAAGGCGACGAUCCGUAACUGGUCUGAGAGGAUGAUCAAUCACACUGGAACUGGGACACGGUCCAGACUCCUACGGGAGGCAGCAGUGGGGAAUAUUGGACAAUGGGCGAAAGCCUGAUCCAGCCAUGCCGCGUGUGUGAAGAAGGUCUUCGGAUUGUAAAGCACUUUAAGUUGGGAGGAAGGGUUGUAGAUUAAUACUCUGCAAUUUUGACGUUACCGACAGAAUAAGCACCGGCUAACUCUGUGCCAGCAGCCGCGGUAAGAC